rnacentral:lncRNA from 1 species
ACAAAUGUAGACUAAGAAAACGGCGCUCAUUCCUACACAGGGAAGAAACAGAGCGAGAAACACAGAGACAAGCAUUAUUGCUAAUUGGAUAUAUUUGUACGAGGAAAUUUUUAUCGUACUCGUAUAGUUUGUUGAGGGUUUAAGGAGGGUAGCGGAGGUGGUGGCGCUCUCGAAGAAGAGGUUAAUUGAAUGUAUUAAGUACGAUGCACUGUACGAGGAUAAUUUUUGUUUCUGUUUUUUUUAAGGUUUUAAGGAGGGUGGCGGAGGUGGUGGCGUUGUCGGAGAAGAGAAAGAAUAAAAGAAUUGAGUAAUUUGCACACCAUGCUGCAGGGGAAAUUUGAUUGAGGAAAGAUGAGGUAUUUAUAUACGGGGAAAUAAGGCAGUGUUUGGGUGAAUCGAAAAGCUGGG